rnacentral:lncRNA from 1 species
CUGCGCCGACGGCGGCAUCAGCACCGUCUACCCCGAGACAACUUGCGGGGUUACCACCAGCGAUGUCGGCUGGGCGCGCGUCAUCACCGCGUCAGCCGGAGGGAUCGAGAGCGCCUAGCGGCCGAGUCUUUGCAGCUCAGGUGGAGGAGCAACAACCUGCAGCACCCGACGACGUCGUGGCAGAUAUAAUUGUGAUUAAAGGCACUAGAG